ACCUUCAAAUUGUUCAUGAAAGAUCGGAUUUCCUUGACUGGCUCGUGAGCAACUUACUAGACAAGUUCUAUUUGAAUUCCCUUUCUCCUGCUGCUUCUUUGGCUGAAACCAGUCGGUCUGCUCACAGAAUCCUUGAUUUGCGCUCUAAAGCCGCUUUUCAAUCUAAGUCUUUUGUCUAUCUCUCUUUGAGACUAGGAAUAAAGAGAUUCGGAUACUGGCUUGCUGCUAGCUGGCGAAGGUACUUUUCCCGGGUAAUUUUCUCUUUCAAAACUGCUUGGAACUUCAUUAGAAGCCAAUCGAAUCCUGUUGAGUGGAUCUCGUUUUGACAUUCUCCCUGUCCCCCUUGGGCUGGGUCUUGGCUCUUGUUCUUGUGCUCCCUCUCUCUUUAUUCUCGCCCGGCCUUCAAUGCUUUGAAACCCGCUAACACCCCCUUUCAAACAUACUCUUUGCGAUUCUAUCUAUCUCUUAUGUAAGACUUAAUCAAGGAUGCCUCAGUCGGAGGAGAGAGACUGACUAAGUCGAUUCUAAGAAGCAAGCAAGAAGGCACUCCUAAGCGCAGAAAGCAGUGAGCCGGGGGCCUAGCCUUGAUUCAUUCUUCUUCCCAGUUCCCAGAUCGGAACCGGAGAAUAGAAAUUCAUUAUGUUGAUUAACCUUUUUCAGAGCACAGGGCAGAUGGGAAGAAUAGCUAUAUUUCGUAUCCAAGCCCAAGCAGCAAGGGCGUUAAGGCUUUCUUUUCUUGCUUGAAUCAACUUCCUAAACCUCUUCCUGCUCAUUGACUAUUGGGAUAACUUGAAUAUGACUAUGUUAAGGUUUAAGAUAACCCGGG
rnacentral:lncRNA from 1 species